AGAGUUUGAUCCUGGCUCAGAACGAACGCUGGCGGCAUGCCUAACACAUGCAAGUCGAACGAGACCUUCGGGUCUAGUGGCGCACGGGUGAGUAACGCGUGGGAAUCUGCCCUUGGGUUCGGAAUAACUCAGAGAAAUGUGAGCUAAUACCGGAUGAUGUCGCAAGACCAAAGAUUUAUCNCCCAGGGAUGAGCCCGCNUAGGAUUAGCUUGUUGGUGGGGUAAAGGCCUACCAAGGNGANGAUCNUUAGCUGNUCUGAGAGGANGNUCANCCNCACUGGGACUGAGACACGGCCCAGACGCUUACGGGUGGCAGCAGUGAGGAAUAUUCGUCAAUGGGGGAAACCCUGAACGAGCAACGCCGCGUGAAGGAUGAAGGCCCUCGGGUUGUAAACUUCUUUUAGGGGGGACGAGAAAGGACGGAUCCCCCGGAAUAAG
rnacentral:rRNA from 1 species